GGUACCCUUGGUUUUAAAUUAACCUGCAAACAGAAAACUCAGUAAGUGAUACCCUAUUUCUAUAACUUUUAUGCAAGAAUGGAGUAUGUCUACAGAAGUUAUAAUUUCAUUUUAUGCAAGAAACAACCAUUUAAGCAAAAUAUUGAGAAUAACUACAUAGAAGAAACAUUCAUGAACAUUAGAGACCAAAAAUAACCUUCUUUAAUCUUAUAUGAGAAAUUUAAGAAUUCGAUGAAACUUAGGAAUGAUGAGAGUUAAUAGAUAAUUAUCAUGCAAAUCAAAAGUAAUAAUGCAAUUAACCAAUAACAUAAAUUGAAUAUUAUAAUGGAAAAUUGCUACUAAAAGUAAAAUUAACCCACAUAGCCAACUUCCCCAAUCUCUCAUUCCCCCAUCCCACUUUAUAAAAAUAAAUAAAAGUCAAAGAGAACUGAAAAGAAAAUGCAAACAGUUGGACAGGGGGCGUUUAAGGAGCUAAAUGAUCCUACUCAUCUUCAUCGGACAUAGGCUUCAACAAGUUUAAAAAAACACCAAAAAGAUGCUUAUCCUAGUAAGAUGAUAAAAGAUUAAGAAAAUUUACUGUCUAAUUGUCCAAAAAAGGGGAAAAAAAUCAAGAGAUAUAACAGGAAAACGAGGCAUCAACAGUUCAGGAAGCAUAAAC
rnacentral:misc_RNA from 1 species